rnacentral:rRNA from 1 species
GAUGAACGCUAGCGGCAGGCUUAAUACAUGCAAGUCGAGGGGCAGCAUGAGUAGCAAUACUUGAUGGCGACCGGCAAACGGGUGCGGAACACGUACAGAACCUUCCUUCGAGCGGGGAAUAGCCCGGAGAAAUCCGGAUUAAUACCCCAUAGUAAAUUGAAAAGGCAUCUUUUUAAUUUUAAAGUAUUUAUCACUUGAAGAUGGCUGUGCGCCUGAUUAGGUAGUUGGCGGGGUAACGGCCCACCAAGCCUUCGAUCAGUAACUGGUGUGAGAGCACGACCAGUCACACGGGCACUGAGACGACGGGCCCGACUCCUACGGGAGGCAGCAGUAAGGAAUAUUGGUCAAUGGACGCAAGUCUGAACCAGCCAUGCCGCGUGGAGGAUGAAGGUCCUCUGGAUU